UUUGACGCAUUUUGCUGUUGGCAGACGCUUGUGUGUGCAUGAGUUCCACUGAUACUAUCUGGACACCUACUUCACUCCCUACGUGGGGCAGAGGGCACUUUGUGUACUGAUGUCUCACCUUACCUUCCUGCUACAGUUGAGAAUGAUAUGUGGAGAGGAUGACAGUUGAUAAGCCUACAUGAACAUUUGAUUGUGGAAUUCUAACUGUGAAGCACAUAAGGACAUGCAAAGCCUUUCUUGAAGCAUCUGAUAUGGAAGAUGAGUAUCUGUGUGAUGCCACUGCACUUAAACAAACCUGUUACAAAAUGCUUUGUCAUCCUUCGAAUUUUCCUUAUUUCCCCUGUCACUUCUAAAUGGUAUGGGUCCACAACUGACAAGCAAUAUUUAUGUAUCAGAUUAAUUUCAUUCACAGCCAGUAGUCAUU